UACGAGGGGUGCAAGCGUUAUUCGGAAUAACUGGGCGUAAAGGGUGCGUAGACGGCUCAUUAAGUCCGCUGUUAAAUACCCCGGCCUAACCGGGGAAUCGCGGUGGAAACUGAUAGGCUUGAGGAUGGAAGAGAGAAGUGGAAUUCUCGGAGUAGCGGUAAAAUGCGUAGAUCUCGAGAGGAACACCGAUGGCGAAGGCAGCUUCUUGGUCCAUUUCUGACGUUGAUGCACGAAAGCGUGGGGAGCAAACAGG
rnacentral:misc_RNA from 1 species